rnacentral:rRNA from 1 species
AUUGAACGCUGGCGGCAGGCCUAACACAUGCAAGUCGAACGAGUGGCGGACGGGUGAGUAAUGUCUGGGAAACUGCCCGUUGGAGGUGGAUAACUCCUUGAAACGGUAGCUAAUACCGCAUACCAUCGGAUGUGCCCCGAUGGGAGUAGCUAGUAGGUGGGGUAACGGCUCACCUAGGCGACGCUCCCCAGCUGGUCUGAGAGGAUGACCAGCCACACUGGAACUGAGACACGGUCCAGACUCCUACGGGAGGCAGCAGUGGGGAAUAUUGCACAAUGGGCGCAAGUCGUAUGCAGCCAUGCCGCGUGUAUGAAGAAGGCCUUCGGGUUGUAAAGUACUUUCAGCGAGGAGGAGUUACUCGCAGAAGAAGCACCGGCUAACUCCGUGCCAGCCGCCGCGGUAAUUC